GUAAUGCCUCGCCAUUUAGGCUGCCUCCAAUAAAUCUAAAAGUGUUCGCGGGAGAGAGCAACGGGCUGCUGCCUUGGAGUCCCUGGGAGAGCGGACGCCUUCAGGGCGCCGGUCUAGUUUAGUUGCAAGUAGUGUUAAAGUGGCCAAGCCGCUUAAGUCGGGUAUAAACAAAUGCGCUUUUGCCGGAGCAGCUGCCAGCCCUGCCUAGCAAGCUGAUCCUGCAGAAUACACGCUUUGGGUUUAUCGUUGCUGGAUUGGCUGGUGCUUCCGACACAGCCCCGGUAUCCAACUUAGUAUCAAAUUAUUGCUGUCAACAGCUAACACACAACAGUGACAUAGGUAAA
rnacentral:lncRNA from 1 species